rnacentral:rRNA from 1 species
GGUCAAGCGAAUAAGCGCACACGGUGGAUGCCUUGGCGGUCAGAGGCGAUGAAGGACGUGGCAGCCUGCGAAAAGUAUCGGGGAGCUGGCAACAAGCUUUGAUCCGGUAAUGUCCGAAUGGGGAAACCCACCCGCUUGCGGGUAUCCUGCAGUGAAUACAUAGCUGCUGGAAGCGAACCUGGUGAACUGAAAUAUCUAAGUAACCAGAGGAAAAGAAAUCAACCGAGAUUCCGUAAGUAGCGACGAGCGAACGCGGACUAGCCCUUAAGCUGGAUUGGUUCUAGGAAAACGCUCUGGAAAGAGCGGCCAUAGAAGGUGAUAGCCCUGUAUCUGAAAGGGCCAUUCCAGUGAAGACGAGUAGGGCGGGGCACGUGAAACCCUGUCUGAACAUGGGGGGACCAUCCUCCAAGGCUAAAUACUACUGACCGACCGAUAGUGAACCAGUACCGUGAGGGAAAGGCGAAAAGAACCCCGGAGAGGGGAGUGAAAUAGAACCUGAAACCGUGUGCGUACAAGCAGUAGGAGCUCCGCAAGGAGUGACUGCGUACCUUUUGUAUAAUGGGUCAGCGACUUACUGUUCGUGGCAAGCUUAACCGUAUAGGGGAGGCGAAGGGAAACCGAGUCUGAUAAGGGCGCAUAGUCGCGGGCAGUAGACCCGAAACCGGGUGAUCUAGUCAUGCCCAGGGUGAAGGUGCGGUAACACGCACUGGAGGCCCGAACCCACUCCCGUUGCAAAGGUAGGGGAUGAGGUGUGAUUAGGAGUGAAAAGCUAAUCGAACCCGGAGAUAGCUGGUUCUCCUCGAAAGCUAUUUAGGUAGCGCCUCAUAUGUAUCCUCUCGGGGGUAGAGCACUGUUAUGGCUAGGGGGUCAUCGCGACUUACCAAACCAUUGCAAACUCCGAAUACCGAGACGGACUGUAUGGGAGACACACGGCGGGUGCUAACGUCCGUCGUGAAAAGGGAAACAACCCAGACCCACAGCUAAGGUCCCAAAUUCACUGCUAAGUGGAAAACCAUGUGGAAAGGCACAGACAGCCAGGAGGUUGGCUUAGAAGCAGCCACCCUUUAAAGAAAGCGUAAUAGCUCACUGGUCGAGUCGGUCUGCGGGGAAGAUUUAACGGGGCUAAGCAGUGAACCGAAGCUUGGGGUGCAUAACUUUGUUAUGCGCGGUAGAGGAGCGUUCCGUAAGCCGUUGAAGGUGGAUUGAGAAGUCUGCUGGAGGUAUCGGAAGUGCGAAUGCUGACAUGAGUAACGAUAAUGCGGGUGAAAAACCCGCACGCCGAAAGCCCAAGGUUUCCUUGCGCAACGUUAAUCGGCGCAGGGUGAGUCGGCCCCUAAGGCGAGGACGAAAGUCGUAGUCGAUGGGAAGCAGGUUAAUAUUCCUGCACCUCGCGUAAGUGCGAUGGAGGGACGGAGAAGGUUAGGUGUACCAGGCGUUGGUUGUCCUGGGGAAAGGCGGUAGGUUUGGAUCUUUGGCAAAUCCGGGAUCCUUUAAGACCGAGCACCGAGACGAGCCUUUAUGGCGAAGUCACUGAUACCACGCUUCCAGGAAAAGCUCCUAAGCUUCAGCUUACGCAGACCGUACCGUAAACCGACACAGGUGGGUAGGAUGAGAAUUCUCAGGCGCUUGAGAGAACUCGGGUGAAGGAACUAGGCAACAUGGCACCGUAACUUCGGGAGAAGGUGCACCCUUUUUGGUGGCUCGUGCGAGCUAUAGCUGAAGAGGGUCGCAGUAACCAGGCCGCUGCGACUGUUUAUCAAAAACACAGCACUCUGCAAACACGAAAGUGGACGUAUAGGGUGUGACGCCUGCCCGGUGCUGGAAGGUUAAUUGAUGGGGUCAGCCGCAAGGCGAAGCUCUUGAUCGAAGCCCCAGUAAACGGCGGCCGUAACUAUAACGGUCCUAAGGUAGCGAAAUUCCUUGUCGGGUAAGUUCCGACCUGCACGAAUGGCGUAACGACAGCGGCGCUGUCUCCACCCGAGACUCAGUGAAAUUGAAAUCGCUGUGAAGAUGCAGCGUUCCCGUGGCAAGACGGAAAGACCCCGUGAACCUUUACUAUAGCUUUACACUGAACGUUGAGUUCGUCUGUGUAGG